rnacentral:rRNA from 4 species
UUUCCCUCAGGAUAGCUGGCACUCGCUCUGAGCGAGUCUCAUCUGGUAAAGCGAAUGAUUAGAGGCCUUGGGGCCGAAACGACCUCAACCUAUUCUCAAACUUUAAAUGGGUGAGAUCUCUGGCUUGCUUGAAACUUGAAGCCACGAGAUUAUAAUGGAUCAGAGUGCCAAGUGGGCCAAUUUUGGUAAGCAGAACUGGCGCUGUGGGA